rnacentral:lncRNA from 1 species
AGCGCUCACCAAUCCCUUUUGUUUCCGAUCAGGCUUAGAUGAACGCACAUCGGAGAUCGUAACAAACUGAAGAUGUUCGCGCAAUUGUUCGAUGAUCAGCUUGACAUUAGUGCUCGUUGCAGAUUGAAGCAAAAACUUAAUAACAAGCGGUAAGUCUUCAGCAUCUGCUGUUCGUAAGCUGGACACUGCAACGGUGACAACCUGAACACAAAGCGAUUUCUUUAAAUUGACGAAUCAAUUUGCACCACAGCCUAAAAGCCCACAGCCAAUGUCAACGUGCGAUAAAAUAGACUUGGUCAAAUACUUAAACAAAAAUAACUAAUAACAAGCACUCAACGCAACAAAAGCGAGAUGCUUGAAACUUCUCAUACUUGAAGUUCAGCUUUCUUGAAGUACUAAAUGAGAAUUUCUCUUCAGAAGGAUAUUGUAUGAACUACCCCGAAACACAGAUUCAGCAAGAAGCCUGCCCAAAACGUUCUGAUGUUUUCACCUGCUCAAAAAGUUCAGGCUCAAGAUUCAUAUUCGAAAAGGCGUCCAACACUGGAACUACAAGCUGCAAAUCUUCCUGCACAAAGAAAUUCCAGAUCUGUGAGCAAGGUCCCCAAAGUUUUACAGACAUAAAGAAACCAGUCAUCAUCUUUGACGAAAUAGCAGUAAAUUAAACCCACUUUAGGGAAGUUUCGCGCCUCGUGGCAAAGCAUAAUCACGAAGAAGAUCACCCCUGCAUUUUACCCAACGAUAAGCCACCU